rnacentral:lncRNA from 1 species
GCCAUGAGUGGGCUCUUGAAUCAAGAAGCAGAUUAUUGGAUGCUGGACUAGACCCCAUGGAAGAGGAAAUAUGCUUGCAUCAGAAAGUUAGAUUAAAGACAAUAUGCUAAUAUAGGAAAGGGGAAAGUGUGGGAGCAGUGAAUGUAAAGGAAAGAUGUAACGGAGGAGGCUGUACCCCAUCUGGGGACUUAUAGUACUCGUUAGAAGAGGGCAAAAAAGAAGGGCCCUCAACGUAUAGGGUCAGUAUGUGUAGCAAAUGGGGAUGCAAAACGUCCAAGAAAUGUUCCAGGUGCCAUCUGUAGAAGCGUAACAAUGGACAAAAAGAGGCCCACAAGGAGGGAGAGUGUCUUGUGCAGACUCAAAGACCAAGUGAGGAUAACACAAUUCUUCUGGAGGGUCUAAAGCUUUUUCUGAUAAGGCUGAUAAAGGUGAGCUAGAAGUGGUGGUAUCCAGACAGAAGAAGCAGCUCUUUGAAUCUUUCCCAACGGUGACCAAGAGAUAACUCUGUGCAUAACUGCACACAAGUAUGAAGGCCUAAGUUCAAAUCCUCAGCCCCCACAUCUAAACUUGAGUGCAGCUGUAAUUGUCUGGAACUCCAGUGCUGUAGGAGGUGGAGGCCGUAGGGUUGCUGGGGCUUGCCUUAGCUACCACACCAGAUCCAGGUUCAGUGAGAGACCCAGUCUCAAGAGUGCUGCAGACCCUCUGGGCCCCUUUGUCUGCGUGGAACGGGUCUCUGGUUGCGGGUGGGCAAAGCAUCGGAUGAGUGACAAACAGAC